UACGUAGGUGGCAAGCGUUGUCCGGAUUUACUGGGCGUAAAGGGCGUGCAGGCGGUCUGUUAAGUGCAGGGUGAAAGCUCCCGGCUCAACUGGGAGAGGUCCUUGCAUACUGGCGGACUUGAGGGGGGUAGAGGAAAGUGGAAUUCCCGGUGUAGUGGUGAUAUGCGUAGAUAUCGGGAGGAACACCUGUGGCGAAGGCGGCUU
rnacentral:rRNA from 1 species